GAUGAACGCUGGCGGCGUGCCUAAUACAUGCAAGUCGAGCGAACAGACGAGGAGCUUGCUCCUCUGACGUUAGCGGCGGACGGGUGAGUAACACGUGGAUAACCUACCUAUAAGACUGGGAUAACUUCGGGAAACCGGAGCUAAUACCGGAUAAUAUAUUGAACCGCAUGGUUCAAUAGUGAAAUACGGUUUUUCUGUCACUUAUAGAUGGAUCCGCGCCGCAUUAGCUAGUUGUUAAGGUAACUGCUUACCAAGGCGACGAUGCGUAGCCGACCUGAGAGGGUGAUCGGCCACACUGGAACUGAGACACGGUCCAGACUCCGACGGGAGGCAGCAGUAGGGAAUCUUCCGCAAUGGGCGAAAGCCUGACGGAGCAACGCCGCGUGAGUGAUGAAGGUCUUCGGAUCGUAAAACUCUGUUAUUAGGGAAGAACAAAUGUGUAAGUAACUAUGCACGUCUUGACGGUACCUAAUCAGAAAGCCACGGCUAACUACGUG
rnacentral:rRNA from 1 species